UCCGCGCGAGUCCUCCCGCUCCUCGAGGGCGAGCUCCAGGCAGGACGGACCCAGGUGCCUUGCCUGCACCACACUAGACCUCCAUUUCUCCUGCUCCUCCGCCGACUCCUGGAUCUUUCCUUGGUGAAUGAUGGUUUGGGGGGCGAAGGGGUGGGUGUCUCGGUGGGGGAGGGUCCUUAACUCCUUCAACUCUGGGGCGAAGUGUGCAGUCGUUACUUAGCCCUUUCUCCACUGUCCCUGUCCCAGGCAUUGGAGGCUCCAAGGCUCCACCCUGGCGGACAGGGUGGGGUGAAGGUGACAGCUAGCUGUAGCUUGGCAAAGAAGCCAGCAAGUGUAAACCUGAGUGUCCUCAGCUAACCUCAGAAUCCAUUGAAUAAAAGGGCCAUGAUCAGGCUUCGGGCUAAAGAGGUCUCCUCUCUGCCUGCGAGCCAGAUCUGGAUCAGAGUUGGGGGUGAGUGACCAAAGACCCCAGCAGCACCUGGUCGUUCUCCUCCCCUUCCACUUCAAGCAGAAUGUGGAAGGAAACAAAAGGGUAAAUCUAGACAGUGACGUUUACCGACUGGAACCUCUUUUCUCUAAGCAUCCUCGUGGAGAUAAAGGAUUCUGAGAGACACCUGGUCCCCUACCAAAAGAUUCUCAAUACUUGUACCAUCAAAGAAUAUCAGAACAGAAAGGAUCCCCACAGCUCACUGGUCCAGUCUUGGUUUACAGAGAAGGACCCUGAGAUCAGAGAGGAGGACAUCUGUCUGUGGUCCUUCAGCAAGCAGGGAGAGCAUCUGAGACCAGCGUCCCAGCCUCCCCAUCCUCAGUCCAACACUCUUCCCCCACCCCACACUCCUUCUGCUUGUGCCUUCCAUUCUGUGACUAACCAGGGAGGAGGGAGCUGAAACAGGCUCCCACCGAAAUAGGCUGCUGCCUGUGCGUGAUUAUGUUGCUAUGAGAACCCCAGUGGGUGUGUUUCCUCCCUUCUCUGUUGAAAUCUUUUGCUUUGCUUGGCUUCUCCCCAAGCACAGAUACGGCUCCCUUUGGAAUGGGGAGUGGAGAGGCUGAGAAGGAGAGCUGUAUUCUCAUGGCAAGAGUUUUCUAUUCCAAUCCAUCUAACCCAGAACCAACCUGGGUCUGAGAAAGUCUAGGCUCCUGGGGUUGUGCCACAGUGGCUGGAGAAGGACUCGAGAGAACCACAUAGAAAGUGGACACUCCAGCCCCUUGUUGAGCCUUCUUGGAGCAGAGAGGCACUGCCCCUGCUCUGCAGCCUCCUACGUACAAAUUUACAAGCAAAAUAACUGUAUCUUUAAGACACCAAGUGUGUCAUACAGUGGGAGAUUGCUUGAACACCCACCUUUUAGAUUUGUAGAAUGUGUGAUGUGUGAAAAGUACCCAGCACACAGUAAGAACUUCGUAGUACCGUUUUCUCAUCACCUCCACCAUUCUGGUGCCUUCAGUCUUGUUCCAUCUCCUCUGCAUCAGUACAGUUAACAUAUUCUUUCACGUGGCUUAACUGGUUUAAUCACACAGAACUGACUAGGCAUUUCUUACAUGCCUAAUUUAAGCUGGACAAGAGGCAACAAAAGACACUGGGCUGAUUACUGAUGAGUUUGUAUUUCAUCACCUUGGAUGCUUUCAAAUGUAUGAACUUGUGCAGAGCUUUUGAAGACCUAGAGGUGACAGAGGUACAAAGAAUUAAAAAGGGUGUGAGUUAAAUGGCUAAUAUGGGACAGUAGAUCCUAUCAGAUAAACAAGUCUUUAAGUCAUAACUUGCUUAUGUUAUUAUGCUUAAGCUAGACCUUCAACCAAAGAAAAUACAUUAAGCAUACAUGUAACAUGCUUUGAGUAAUACCUGUUAACAUUUGCUAGGCUGUAGCCCAGGCAGGUGAAUUAAACUUCAUGGAGCACAUUUGCAGAUCAUUGAUUCUUUUAGACUUACAUGCAUUUCCAUCUAGUCCUUUUGGCAGCCCUUUGAUACUAUUGUAAUAGGUACUAUUACCAUUCCCAUUUAACAAAUGCAAAAAGUCGGGAGCCUAGAGCAUGGCUCGUGGGGUAAAGAGUCAAGAAUGAAAUCUAGGAUGUUUAAUUGCAUACAUAACAUGACCCUCAAGAAGUUAUUGAGCUUCAAGGAACAAGAUAGUACUGGCUCUCAACUUUGGCUGCACAGUGGAAUCAUCUAGGAAACAAAAAUACCAGUGUUUUGUUUCCAUUACCGGUGACUGAUUUAGUGAAGUUUGGGCAUCUGGAUUCUAAUGACUCUAAUUCUAAUGGAUGGUCACAGCUGAAGACAAAUGGAUAAAGAUAUCCAGAGACUAAAAGAACUGCAGAAGAAGUUCCCUAAACCACAGGCAGGGCACUUUAAGUGCCCAAGAACUCUCACACUACGGAAAGGUCUGUAUCCAGCAAGGAAGUAGUUCCCAGGAGCCCAGACUGAACAGGGGCAAGUUGGCAGGCAAAGUUUGGAAUGAGAUCAUUGGAAAGGGCUGAACUGGAAAAGUUAUCCAGCUUUUUGGGAUGCCAUAGAAGAAAUGAGUUUCCAGUUACUCACAUAUUCAGUUAGAAUACUUGGUUAAGAUGUAGAGGAGGUAUAAACAUUAGAGGCUUGAACAAGACCUUUAAGUUUCCUCUGGCCUCCUGCUAGACGCCUAAAAAUGAAGACUGUAGCAGUUCAACUCCAGGGUCCUACCCCGCCUUUCUUUGCUUCCUAUCCAAAUUUAGAGACCUAGAAGCAGGACAUAGCUUCUCUAGGCUGGGGACCGUGCUCCCUGGAAGAACUAGGACUCUAGCUUAUUCCAAUGUGAUAGCUGCAACACGGGGAGAUAUAUAAGACAUUUCAUGUGGCCUCCUCCCUACCCCUCUGCACAUGGCCAGCACUCACAUAUGGCCAUGGCACGCUGCAGUGAGUCCAUGCCUCCUAAGAAUCAGGCCACAGCCAUUAUCCAUCACCACCUUAUGGCAGCUAACCCAGCAGUGCUGAGUGUCUUCUGGGCCAGAUGGGAACCCAGCCAAGGCUGCAGCAGUCAGUUACCUGGCUGAACAUCUACGCAGCUCCACACCUGGGCAGUUCUGCACAAAAGCCUCUGCAGCUCUAUUUCUCUUUAACCCAAGGCCAAGUAUUUCUUAAACUACAUUCCAAAGAACAAAUCAAAAGACUGCUACAAGUGUCUACAAAGCAAUUUGAGUCUCAUUAAAACUGGAAUGUCA